GGGGGUAUAGCUCAAUUGUAGAACAUGUGCUUAGCAUGCACAAGGCCCUGGGUUCAAUUCCCAGUACCUCCA
rnacentral:tRNA from 1 species